CAAACGCCGGGCGGAAGGGACGGAUGCACUGCGCAUGCAUAUAAAGGAGAAGCGAGGCCAGGCUCCGCGUCGCCAUCUUGGGUGAUGGUGGUUGCCAUGGCAACCGCGCGGCCUACACCUCUCAGAGCAGCCUGAGCCCUCCGACAGGGGGAACGGCCCCGAGCCGACGACCCCCGACACCCUCUGGGACCCCCACCUUGUCCUCCUCGAGACGCAGUCCUCGCUGUGACUCCUCUUCCCUGCUGGGACCCUGUGGUGUGUUGACCUUGGCUGGAUGCCAGGUGCCCACCCAGCCGCUCUAUCACUCCCCUUUCCAGCGGGACAGUGACUGAGGAGAGCCAUGAAGAACUAGCCUUCAGAAACUUUGUGCAGGACAUGCGGAUGAAAUGCCAGAGGAGAAGCAACCCAAAGGAAUGAGACCUUCAGAAACAGAAGUAACUGUUGGUCCGGUGAGUUAAAGGUCUUGCAGCCAACUGACUGUACAUUUGGCCAUCUGCCACUGUGGCUUCCUGAAGCUGAAGGAACCAGAAAGCAGUUUCUUUUCCUGCAACUUGUUCAGAUCUCUCUGUUGAGAGCUUAGAUUUUGAGCUCUGACAGCAUUAGCAUCCAGAGUACUCACUGGUCCCAGAGGCACCUUCCAUUUGCAGAGUGCAGUCAGGCAUCUGCUGCAGCCAGGGAACAACUUGAUCGAUCCACUGUUUGAUGUUUUGGUUUUCAUUAAGUAGAUUUUACGUACUAAGAAAUGCAUGAUGGUUAAUAGAAGGAGAUUUCAUGUCACCAUUCUAAGGUGAGACAUUUUCCCUGUGCUUGCAGCCUAUUCAUAUGGAUGCACAGCAAAUCUAUCUUAAGUAUAUUACAACCCUGCAGGUUACCUGGUAACAACAGGGAGGUCCCUUUGCCCACAUUGCCUUUCUCUUGCCCCUCUCCAGCCUGAGGCCACUCCUCUGCUCACUCAGUCUGGCCUCGCUGUCCUACACGAUGCCUCUUCUGUCUUCUCCAAUGGCUGCUGCCAAGAAAAGAGGACACAGUGAGUCCCAAGUGCUGACUCCUCACCACUACACCUGGAGAACCACUAUGCCAGCCCCUCAGUGAUUCCACCUCCAACCCUAUCCCCCAUACGCUGGGAUAGCUACUCUGGGGCUGAAGCUGGAAUACAGUUUCUAGAGCUGGACCUGAAGUAAACAUCCUGCUCUGAUCAAGGAGCAACUUCA